AGUGAACGCUGGCGGCAGGCCUAACACAUGCAAGUCGAACGGCAGCACAGCAGUAGCAAUACUGUGGGUGGCGAGUGGCGGACGGGUGAGGAAUACAUCGGAAUCUACCUUGUCGUGGGGGAUAACGUAGGGAAACUUACGCUAAUACCGCAUACGAACUAUGGUUGAAAGCGGCGGACCGCAAGGCGUCGCGCGAUUGGAUGAGCCGAUGUCCGAUUAGCUAGUUGGCGGGGUAAAGGCCCACCAAGGCGACGAUCGGUAGCUGGUCUGAGAGGAUGAUCAGCCACACUGGAACUGAGACACGGUCCAGACUCCUACGGGAGGCAGCAGUGGGGAAUA
rnacentral:rRNA from 1 species